rnacentral:lncRNA from 1 species
GUGGGGGGGACUCUCCAGGGACAUCAUGCGUCACAGAGCAGGGAAGAGGGGGUGGUGAAGGCAGGCAUGAGCAGGUAGGAGAAUGUCACCCUGUCACUGAUGUCAUAGGGCAGAACUGGGGAUCGAGAGAACAGAAGUCAAGGCAUGGAAAGGGUCAGGUGACUGUCUUGCCCUUCUCACCUCCUUCUCGGGGGACACAGACGGGUGAGUUUCUUAACUGCAUUUGCAAUGAAUUUCUGAGGAAAAGGUCAACUUCGAGGAUUUGUGUUACUCCUCAAAGGGCAGGACUGCAGAGACUCGGGUGUGUGUGUGUGUGUAGGGACACAGAGACUCCCAGAGACAGAAGACAAAGCCCCAUCUAGCUACCAGGAGAGCUGUUUACAUGGAAUCCAAGUUGCCUGCCAGGGGCAGAGCACGUUUUUCCACAGCUGCUGAGAAAGACGAGUGAGUCAAGACAGAAUAACAAAAAGCCACUUCAAAAACACACCAGAAGAAGUACGAAGCUGAGACAAUCACAGGACAAUAGAGCCCAUUGAAGAGGAGCCUGGAGUUGGAGGUAUUGGCUCAAGUCCCUCCGACUGUCAUUCAGUUGCCAUGAGACUUUAGUGUGGAUCGUGUCCCCAGGCCUGCGUGUGAGAAAGAUCAGAGUUUAGAAUUAGAGGCUUUUCCAAUGAUGACGUGUACUGUGGGGCCUUAGACUCUGGUCUCACUUGGGCAUGAAGGUGCUCACUUGUGAUCCCAGCACUUGAGACGAAGAGGCAGGAGAAUCCGGAGUUCAAGGUUAUCCCGCAUAGUAAGUUCAAGGCUAAUGGGCUUGUCUUAGUCAGGGUCUCUAUUCCUGCACAAACAUCAUGACCAAGACAAAUUGGUACCAGGAGUGGGGUAUUCCUGUGACAACCUGACCAUGUUUUGGGGAGGACUGUGGAAGGAC